CAAUAGCGUAUAUUAAAGUUGUUGCAGUUAAAAAGCUCGUAGUUGGAUUUCUGGUGGGAGCGAUCGGUCUGGCGCUUAGCGCGAGUACUUGCAUCGUCUCCGGCCAUCCUUGGGGAGAGUCUGUCUGGCAUUAGGUUGUCGGGCAGAGGAUCCUCAUCGUUUACUGUGAAAAAAUUAGAGUGUUCAAAGCAGGCUUAUGCCGUUGAAUAUAUUAGCAUGGAAUAAUAAGAUAGGACUUUGGUACUAUUUUGUUGGUUUGCGCACCAAAGUAAUGAUUAAUAGGGACAGUUGGGGGUAUUCGUAUUCCGUUGUCAGAGGUGAAAUUCUUAGAUUGCCGAAAGACAAACUGCUGCGAAAGCGUCUGCCAAGGAUGUUUUCAUUGA
rnacentral:rRNA from 1 species